rnacentral:rRNA from 1 species
GAUGAACGCUAGCGGCAGGCCUAACACAUGCAAGUCGAGGGGUAGAGGAAGCUUGCUUCCUUGAGACCGGCGCACGGGUGCGUAACGCGUAUGCAAUCUGCCUUGUACUGAGGGAUAGCCCAGAGAAAUUUGGAUUAAUACCUCAUAGCAUUAUGAAAUCGCAUGGUUUUAUAAUUAAAGUUCCAACGUUACAAGAUGAGCAUGGGUCCCAUUAGUUAGUUGGUAAGGUAACGGCUUACCAAGACGAUGAUGGGUAGGGGUCCUGAGAGGGAGACCCCCCACACGGGUACUAAGACACGGACCAGGCUCCGACGGGAGGCAGCAGUGAGGAAUAUUGGUCAAUGGACGCAAGUCUGAACCAGCCAUGCCGCGGGCAGGAUGAAGCAUCUAUGGUGUGUAAACUGCUUUUGUACGGGAAGAAACACUCCUACGUGUAGGAGCUUGACGGUACCGUAAGAAUAAGGAUCGGCUAACUCCGUGCCAGCAGCCGCCGUAACAC